AUUGAACGCUGGCGGCAGGCCUAACACAUGCAAGUCGAGCGCGCGGCGGACGGGUGAGUAAAGUCUGGGAAACUGCCUGAUGGGGGGGGAGAAAUACUCGAAACGGGAGAUAAUACAGCAUACACUAAGAGGUGCCCACAUGGGAUUAGCUAGUAGGUGGGGUAACGGCGCACCUAGGCGACGAUCCCCAGCUGGUCUGAGAGGAUGACCAGCCACACGGGAACUGAGACACGGUCCAGACUCCUACGGGAGGCAGCAGUGGGGAAUAUUGCACAAUGGGCGCAAGCCUGAUGCAGCCAUGCCGAGUGUGUGAAGAAGGCCUUCGGGUUGUAAAGCACUUUCAGCGGGGAGGCGUUACCCGCAGAAGAAGCACCGGCUAACUCCGUGCCAGCAGCCGCGGUAAUAC
rnacentral:rRNA from 1 species